CCCUUAGAUGUUCUGGGCCGCACGCGCGCUACACUGAUGCAUUCAACGAGUUUCUUCCUGGUCCGAGAGGAAUGGGUAACCUUUUGAAAGUGCAUCGUGAUAGGGAUAGACUAUUGCAAUUAUUGGUCUUCAACGAGGAAUUCCUAGUAGACGUAGUUCAUCAGACUGCAUCGAUUACGUCCCUGCCCUUUGUACACACCGCCCGUCGCUCCUACCGAUUGAAUGGUUUAGUGAGAAUUUUGGACUGGAACUCCCUUGCUCAGCAAUGGGCGAGGGGGAGUCCGGGAAGCUAUUCUAACUGUAUCAUUUAGAGGAAGUAAAAGUCGUAACA
rnacentral:rRNA from 1 species